GCAUUGGUGGUUCAGUGGUGGAAUUCUCACCUUCCAUGUGAGAGAUCCGGGUUCAGUUCUCAGCCAGUGCA
rnacentral:tRNA from 1 species